rnacentral:misc_RNA from 1 species
GCACCUGGUGGGCUUGCUGGAGAUAGGCGGGCUGUUGUUCCUGCAUCAGGCUUUUCAUUUAGUUCACAACAGAUAUGGAAGGUUAUAAAGGAGAACAAGGACCUUGACCUGCCUGCCCAUAAGGUUAUGGUAGCUACGGUGCGGUGUGAAGAGAUUGCCAAUGAAAAAUAUGUUUCUUUCACUGAAAAUGAGGAAUGGUCUCAAUUAGAAGAGGCAGUUAAUUCUCAUUCUGUACGAGGCUUUGGAAGGAAGGUCAGCUCAAUUUUGGACGCUUGUCUAUCAGAGUAUGAUGUCGAGGCUACCUUCUUUGAUGAAGGGGUUAGAUCCUCAAAGCGAAAGCAUUUGGAAGAGAAAUUGCUUCAGCUCGUCCAACCAGCCUACCAAUCUAUGCUGGGACACAUCCGAUCUGAUGCUUUUGAAAGAUUUAAAGAAGCGUUUGAGAAGUCAUUGAAGGGGGGUAAAGGGUUUGCUCUGGCUGCUCGUGAAUGUGCUGAGUCUUUUAUGUCCCAUUUUGAUGAAGAAUGCUCAGAUGCUAUUAUUGACCAAGCAAAAUGGGACUCAUCAAGAGUGAAGGAUAAGCUGAGGCGUGAUGUAGAUGCUCAUAUUGCUGAAGUUCGCAGUGCCAAGCUGGCUGAAGUGACAACCCUGUAUGAGACAAAACUGAACGAGGCAUUGGCUGGACCAGUUGAGGCUCUUUUAGAUGGAGCUGGCGAUGAUACAUGGCCGGCAAUAAGAAAAUUGCUUCAGCGUGAGACUGAUACAGCAGUCUCUGGUUUUGCUGCUGCACUUUCUGGUUUUGAAAUGGAUGAAGAAAGUAGGGAUAACAUGGUUUUGCGGUUGAAAGAUUAUGCACGAGGAGUAGUUGAAGCAAAGGCAAAGGAAGAAGCUGGAAGGGUCUUGAGUCGCAUGAAGGACAGGUUUUCAACAUUGUUCAGCCAUGAUCAAGAUUCUAUGCCACGAAUUUGGACUGGCAAGGAAGAUAUUCGCGCAAUCACUAAAACUGCACGAUCAGCUUCUCUGAAGCUCCUGUCAGUUAUGGCUGCAGUUCGCUUGGAAGAUGAGAGUGACAGUAUAGACAAAGUACUUAUAGUUGCUCUUGUAGAUGGAAAAGCAGGGGCUUCCUCCUCAAAGAGCAUUACAUCAGUUGAUCCUCUAGCAUCUAGCACUUGGGAUGAGGUCCCUCCAUCAAAAACUUUGAUCACACCUGUCCAGUGCAAGUCUUUGUGGAGGCAAUUCAAGACGGAGACUGAAUAUGUUGUUUCACAAGCCAUUGCUGCUCAGGAAGCUAGCAAGAGAAACAAUAAUUGGUUACCACCUCCAUGGGCAAUUGCUGCCAUGGUGAUUUUGGGAUUCAAUGAAUUCAUGACACUUUUAAGAAAUCCUUUAUAUUUAGGGUUUAUAUUCGUCGCCUAUCUGCUAUUUAAAGCUCUUUGGGUGCAAAUGGAUAUCUCAGGCGAAUUCCGCAAUGGAGUUCUUCCUGGACUUCUCUCUUUAUCCACAAAGUUCCUUCCUACAAUCAUGAAUCUUCUUAAACGACUAGCAGAGGAAGGACAAGGUGUGGCAAAUGGUCAACCUCAGGCUAACCCCGCUCUUUCAUCAAAGAGCUUCCGCGGUAGCACAAACGAUCACGGUGAUGUAUCAACCAGUGGUACAUCCGAAGUAACUUCAGAAAAUGGAACAGAAUACUCUAGCUCCUCCUUACAUGACAAAGCACAGUAAGCUAUUGUUUAUAACACCCACUCUUAUUCUGCGACAGCAAAGUUUUAAUGCUCAUCCAGACGUGGUAUGGUGCACAAGUAUGCUUGGUUGCGGCUAGCACUUUUAGAGACAAAGCAUAUGAAAGAAUCAGACACUGAAGGCAUUGAUUUUUGUACACCGAAUAGGCUGUGUUCUAUUUCUCUCUUGUUCUUUUUACAGUUGAUUUUUAUUUUGUUGGUGAACUAAGAGGGCCAUUCUUUUCUGUGUUGUUUGUUAUCAUUCUCCUUGUUUGCCAUCAAAAUUUUCUUGUGAGAAGCCUAAUAUAAUGUCGGUAUUUUAUGGAUAAGCUGAUGAAAGAUAUCAGAAACUAUAUUUCUA